GGAAAGUGCUAGGGGGGCCGCGUAAGGCGGCUGAGAUGGAACCGCGUUCCGACCCUUUGAACCUGACGCAGCUCACACUGCCGGAGGGAAGCCGACUCUGCCAGUA
rnacentral:ncRNA from 2 species